UAGUUUUUAUUCAUGUGAGAGGCGGAUUUACAUCGAGAAAAUUAACAGCAAUUAGAAUAAUAAUUGCUACCACAGCGCAAAGAUUACAAAAUAUUUCUAAAAGCCUGCAUGACUGGCUACAAACUUUGUUUUAUUCAAUUUCUUUCACCAUCAGUGAAGGGCUUCAUUUGAAACUUGAAUAUUGCAAUGUAACGAUUUUUGCUUGACUGCAUGGCUUGGACGUGGUGGAACUAAUGAUAUUUCGAUACCAGAACGGCCAAAGAAACAAAAUGGUGCUCAGCUGUAUAGAUUGUACGGUCUCAGUUCUAGUGAUUAUAUUGGAAAUUCUAUCGGCCCGUGCUGGAUCGUGGAAUUGCACAUUUGAAUCGGAUAACUGCGGGAUUACUCAAUUAGGCAACGAACUGAAUCCACAUUGGGCUAUUCGAACAGGUAGGCCAUGAAGGUGUGACUUGUGUAAAAGCUACAAGUGGAAACAAGUACUACAGAGCAAUCAUUAACC